ACUCCUACGGGAGGCAGCAGCUAACAAUAUUCCGCAAUGGACGAAAGUCUGACGGAGCGACGCCGCGUGGAUGAAGAAGGCCGAAAGGUUGUAAAAUCCUUUUGCUGGGGAAGAAUAAGUCUGGGAGGGAAUGCCCGGAUGAUGACAUGAACCGGCGAAUAAGCCCCGGCCAACUACGUGCCAGCAGCCGCGGUAACACGUAGGGGGCGAGCGUUGUUCGGAAUUACUGGGCGUAAAGGGCAUGUAGGCGGUUUUGUAAGCUUGGCGUGAAAGACCACGGCUCAACCGUGGGGUUGCGUUGAGAACUGCGAAGCUUGAGUUAUGGAGAGGGAGCUAGAAUUCCUGGUGUAGGGGUGGAAUCUGUAGAGAUCAGGAAGAAUACCAAUGGCGAAGGCAAGCUCCUGGCCGAUGACUGACGCUGAGGUGCAAAAGUGUGGGGAUCAAACAGGAUUAGAUACCCUGGUAGUC
rnacentral:rRNA from 1 species